UGUGAGGGCAAGACUGCCUUAAAAAUAAAUGGAAGUAAACGGGGGAGCUGCGGUUUUUCUCGACAAAAACUCGAUAAAGAUUACAUUUAUCAACCGAUUUCAGAGGAGUACCUUGUAAAAAGGUGUUACCAGCGACCUGCAUGUGCCAGAGGUGUAUAAGGACUUUGACAGCACUGUCCCUUUAUUGACCACAAUGGCGAUGUCCAGUGAUGAUUCGUUGGUGGAUUCUGCUUUUGGUGAAAACUGCAUCAGAGGGGGAUGACUUCUCUGCUCCCUCAUAUACUGCAGGGACAACCUUGCAAGCAUAUGCAAAAGAUCUCCAGACAGCUGAAAGGAAAAAUAUGCCUAUUAAAAAUAAAUGUUGAAC
ensembl:lncRNA